rnacentral:rRNA from 1 species
CCUACGGGGGGCAGCAGUGGGGAAUAUUGCACAAUGGGGGGAACCCUGAUGCAGCAAUGCCGCGUGGGUGAAGAAGCACUCCGGUGCGUAAAGCCCUGUCAGCAGGGAAGAAAAUGACGGUACCUGAGUAAGAAGCCCCGGCUAACUACGUGCCAGCAGCCGCGGUAAUACGUAGGGGGCAAGCGUUAUCCGGAUUUACUGGGUGUAAAGGGAGCGUAGACGGCAGUGCAAGUCUGGAGUGAAAGGCGGGGGCUCAACCCCCGGACUGCUCUGGAAACUGUACGGCUGGAGUGCAGGAGAGGUAAGUGGAAUUCCUAGUGUAGCGGUGAAAUGCGUAGAUAUUAGGAGGAACACCAGUGGCGAAGGCGGCUUACUGGACUGUAACUGACGUUGAGGCUCGAAAGCGUGGGGAGCAAACAGGAUUAGAUACCCGAGUAGUC